rnacentral:rRNA from 1 species
AAUCUUGGACAAUGGGCGAAAGCCUGAUGGAGCAACGCCGCGGGAGUGAAGAAGGUGUUCGGAUUGUACAACUCGGCUGUAAGGGAAGAACAAGUACAGUAGUAACUGGCUGUACCUUGACGGUACGUUAUUAGAAAGCAACGGCUAACUACGUGCCAGCAGCCGCGGUAAUACGUAGGUGGCAAGCGUUGUCCGGAAUUAUUGGGCGUAAAGCGCGCGCAGGCGGUCCUUUAAGUCUGAUGUGAAAGCCCACGGCUCAACCGUGGAGGGUCAUUGGAAACUGGGGGACUUGAGUGCAGAAGAGGAAAGUGGAAUUCCAAGUGUAGCGGUGAAAUGCGUAGAGAUUUGGAGGAACACCAGUGGCGAAGGCGACUUUCUGGUCUGUAACUGACGCUGAGGCGCGAAAGCGUGGGGAGCAAACAGG